AACGAACGCUGGCGGCAUGCCUAACACAUGCAAGUCGAACGAGACCUUCGGGUCUAGUGGCGCAGGGGUGCGUAACGCCGGGGAACCUGCCCUUAGGUACGGAAUAACUCCCCGAAAGGGGUGCUAAUACCGGUUAAUCUCAUAGGACCAAGGAUUUAUCGCUUUUGGAUGGGCCCGCGUUGGAUUAGCUAGUUGGUAGGGUAAAAGCCUACUAAGGCGACGAUCCAUAGCUGGUCGGAGAGGAUGAUCAGCCACACGGGGACUGAGACACGGCCCAUACUCCUACGGGCGGCAGCAGUGAGGAAUAUAGGACAGUGGGCGAAAGCCUGAACCGGCGAGGCCGCGUGAGUGAUGAAGGCCUUGGGGUUGGAAAGCUCUUUUGCCCGGGAUGAUAAGGACAGUACCGGGAGAAUAAGCUCCGGCUAACUCCGG
rnacentral:rRNA from 1 species